UGAAAAACAUCUUGAUGUGGUCUGUGCAGCAAAUAUAAAAAAAUUUCAGCUCCAGAACAUAGGGCAAAGAAAUCAGAGCUCUCUUUGGGCUCUCCUUGUAGGAUUUUUUGCGAAGUUUUGCGGGAUGGUCCCUAGCGAUGUAUCCACUUACACUGGUCAGCCCAAACGAACCUAUGACGAGAUGAAAUCUCACUGCUGGUUUGUCGAAGAUCCAUUUGAUAGAUCUGAUAAUGCAGCUAGAACAGUUGAUGCGCUAGAGCUUGGGCGUAUUGCCAAUGCCUUCACAAACGCUGCUGUCGUAACCUUCUACUCUUAUGAUCCCGACGACCGGAAUGAAUUACUUACGCAGCUGUGUACACCUGAAGUUCGUUCAAAACUAGGUGCAAGACUUUCAACCAGUCCUCAACAGGGCGGAGUCACAGGACCUCUGGAACUAGUGGCAGCUACCCCAUACGAUAAUCAGUAUUGCCAGAGGGCCACAGGAUCCAAAAGGAAGCGGAGGAAUUCAUAGGCCACAUGGGUAACAACAAGUCAUGCAGGUAAGAAGUGAGCAGAGCACAUCUGCAUAUAAAAUCUCCACAAGCAGAACUCACGCGUAGAUCUUUUGAACAUCCUAUCAUCUUAAGCUUCCCCAAUCAGUACAUGUAACAGAUAGUCCCAGGACAUCUUUUGAUCAAAACUCGUGGACCAACUAUGUUUAGUUU